rnacentral:rRNA from 1 species
AGCCCGCUCAGAAACUCAAAGGAAUUGACGGGGGCCCGCACAAGCGGUGGAGCAUGUGGUUUAAUCGAUGAUACGCGAGGAACCUUACCUGGGCUCAAAUGUAUGUUGACGUAUUCUGAAAGGGAUACUUCUUCGGACAAUAUACAAGGUGCUGCAUGGUUGUCGUCAGCUCGUGCCGUGAGGUGUCGGGUUAAGUCCCAUAACGAGCGCAACCCCUAUCAUUAGUUGCCAUCAGGUCAAGCUGGGGACUCUAAUGAAACUGCCUACGCAAGUAGUGAGGAAGGUGGGGAUGACGUCAAAUCAGCACGGCCCUUACGUCCAGGGCUACACACGUGCUACAAUGGCCGGUACAAAGGGCAGCGACACUGCGAGGUGAAGCCAAUCCCGUAAAAUCGGUCUCAGUCCGGAUUGGAGUCUGCAACUCGACUCCAUGAAGUUGGAAUCGCUAGUAAUCGUGGAUCAGCAUGCCACGGUGAAUACGUUCCCGGGCCUU